rnacentral:sRNA from 1 species
AAACAUCUGAAGAAGUUUAUGAUCACCGACGAUUGUUUUCUCUGGCGACGAUCCGACGAUCACACAAUCAUUU